GUAUUUAUUUUGUAAAAAUUUUUUGUUCAGUCAAACAUUUUAGGCGUGGUUAAAGAAAUAGAAGACUCUGGCAGACCUCGGGCCCAAACACCCAGCUUCCCUAGAAAAAAAAAAAGGGAAGAAUCUGCCAAAGCAUAGUUCAAUGUGUGCACAUGGUGGAUGAUCAUGGUUGCCGGCCGCUGGUUGAGCGGUGAUCGGCAUGACCUUGUAAUGAUCCUUCCGCAGGUUCACCUACGGAAA
rnacentral:misc_RNA from 1 species